rnacentral:rRNA from 1 species
AUACGUAGGUGGCAAGCGUUGUCCGGAUUUACUGGGUGUAAAGGGCGUGUAGGCGGAGAUGCAAGUCAGGAGUGAAAUCUAGGGGCUCAACCCCUAAACUGCUUUUGAAACUGUAUCCCUUGAGUAUCGGAGAGGCAGGCGGAAUUCCUAGUGUAGCGGUGAAAUGCGGAGAUAUUAGGAGGAACACCAGUGGCGAAGGCGGCCUGCUGGACGACAACUGACGCUGAGGCGCGAAAGCGUGGGGAGCUAACAGGAUUAGAUACCCUGGUAGUCCACGCUGUAAACGAUGAAUACUAGGUGUGGGGGGACUGACCCCCUCCGUGCCGCAGUUAACACAAUAAGUAUUCCACCUGGGGAGUACGAUCGCAAGAUUGAAACUCAAAUGAAUUGACGGGG